GUAAUAGUAGCUUAAAUUUAGAGCAUUGGUCUUGUAAGUCAAAGGUAAAAUAUUUUUCUAUUACU
rnacentral:tRNA from 1 species